UACGUAGGCAGCGAGCGUUUGUUCGGAGUUACUGGGCGUAAAGGGUGUGUAGGCGGUUGUUUUAAGUUUGGUGUGAAAUCUCCCGGCUCAACUGGGAGGGUGCGCCGAAUACUGAAUGACUUGGAGUGCGGGGAGAGGAAAAGUGGAAUUCCUGGUGUAGCGGUGAAAAUGCGCAGAUAUCAGGAGGAACACCGGUGGCGAAGGCGGAUCUCUGGGGCCUAACUGACGCUGAGGGAGCGAAAAGCUGGGGGAGCGAACGG
rnacentral:rRNA from 1 species